ACCCUCACCUAGAAACCAUUAUUGCCGAACCCAAAUCCUCACCCCAUCUUCAUCCAAAUCUCACCAAAAUUUACUAAAUUUGAAGGCAAAUCAUCCAUUAGUCAAAGAUCCGGCAAGGAACGCAGCUAACGGACAAGGAGCACCUUAAACUAGACGGCAGUUAAUCGAUCGAGGUUUUAGGAGUAGCAAGCGUCUUUCCUUUCAGGUAAAAUGUUUUGACGUGACGGACUUCUAUCCUUGUUCAGAAGUCCGUAUUUUGGAAGUAUGUAAAUAAGAAGACGUCGAUCGAUAGUGCUGCAGUAGAUGUCAAGUCCUAGUUAUGAAUAUGGCUUUGUUGAAUGGUUUUAAUGUUUUAUCCAACUCUGAUAUGUAAAUAAAGUUUUAAACUGCACUUUUAACCGUUUACUAUAUUUUGCUAACC